UCUGCAGCUAAACAUGCUGAGUCUGUUGUUCAUUUUGAGAGGCGGUUGUUCAUUUUGAGAAGUUCUCCAUUUUUUUGAAAUACGAUAUUGACAGAAAGGUCCUACUUUUAUUGAAGGAUCAGCAGCUUUGGAGCAAAUGUGACUCGCUUUGGGCUGAUAGAACUUCAUAAAUAGUAACCGGCAGAAAGCCUGAACCUUGAGACUCGUGCAGCACAGAUGUGACACAGCAAGCGGUCAACAAAUG